rnacentral:lncRNA from 1 species
CCAGAAAUAAUAAUACCUACCGACUUAUCUAUACAGUCACAUUGAGGGAUGACAGAAAUUUUAUUGAGAAGAUCCUGAGUAAAAAAGACUUGCGUGAAUCGUCCCAUCAUAUUUUAUUUGCUUUGAGAUUUAUACAAAGUAUAAUCUAAAAAAAUACCUACCGACUGAUCUAUACAGUUAUACCGAAAGAUGGAAGAAACUUUAUUAAGAAGAUCCCGAAUAAAAAAGACUUGCGUAAAUCGUCCUAUCGUAUUUUAUUUGCUUUGAGAUUCAUACAAAUUAUAAUCUAAAAGAAUACCUACCGACUGUUCUAUACAGUUACAUUGAAGGAUGACAGAAACUUUAUUGAAAAGAUCCCGAAUAAAAAGGACGUGCGUGAAUCGUCCCAUUGUAUUUAAUUUGCUUUGAGAUUUAUACAAAUUAUAAUCUAAUAAUUUUUUGUUAAUAAUUUGUGGUUGUUCUUUCUAUAUUAGAGCUAUGUAAUGAAGUUUUGUUUGGUAGAAGGUGGACACAAAUGAGGGCAAAUGGCACUUUUGGUCCUUGUGACAUUUUGAUUCUGAAAUUUUAAUUUAUUAUAAUUUUUUAUUCAAAAUUUUAGAUUUAUUGCGAUCAAAUUUUACUCAUAUUACUGACCGUUCGUAACGCAAGUGGCAAAGGGCUCGGUGGUUGGUACUCGAGGUCCCAAGUUCGAAUCCUAGUUGGUUCAUAUUUUCAGCUAAAUUUAUUUCUAAAUAAAAUAAACAAAACACACAUCUAAAUUACAAUAUUUUUAGUUGACUAAUGUUGAUGUAUCAAUCACAAUAUUGA